rnacentral:lncRNA from 1 species
AGACCCCUGGGCUAACAGCCCAAGAGAUGCACCUCAAUGGCCCCCACCAGUGUCCGUAUCAGCAAGCCUGGACCAGCUCAGAACAACGGCCCCCACCAAUGUCUCAGUCUCCGGAGAGGACCCUCCUCUCACCAAGAUGCCCCCAGAGCCCACCAGUCCCAUUCUCCCUACAGCUGGAGGUACUCGAUGCCCAAUAACUGUCUCCCUUCACCUUAAGGCAUAAAUUUUUAUAAGAGGCAAGAAGAAUGCAAUGAUGUUCAGCUCAAUUACCAGGGGUGUGAAAUCAUCUUUUCUCUGAGAUCAAAAUGAGUAUAACACUAUUUACCACGUGAAGUUGUUUCAAGAAUUGAAAGCUUGAUGCUGGCAAAAGCUAUUAAUAUAUGUAGCUCAUAGAAGACUUUCAAGGAUUUAACUGGGAAAUGGAGUCCUGUCCAACACUCAAGCACAGCAUCACCCAGUCCAUGGCUGGUCUACCACAUUUCCACCGUGUCUUCACAGAGAGAAGGAAAAAUCCAGGGGAAAAUGCAAAGAAAAGAGAAAAAGGGAACAAGAAGCAGGACGAAGAUUGAUCAAAAACUAUCCCCAAAAUCAGAAAGUCACCCUACUUACUAAAGCACUGAAAAUGUCUGUUGAUAGGUCAAAAGAGAAGUCCCAGUGAAGGGGCUUAAGGUGCAUGGGGGACAUGGGAAGACAGCCUUGGAAUGACAAUGCCCUAAGGGUAGGAGAGAAAUAGAAGCAAGUGUGGAGUCCCCUAAGGGAAAUGAACAAUGAAGAGGAAAAUAACAAAAAGAAGAAAGGCUAAUUUGGUACAGUACAAGAAAAAAGAAAUUAAAAAUGUGAAGAUACAUAACACUUCCCCAAACUUUCUUCAAAACAAAUAGUCAUCCAAUAAAGAAAACCUACUUUGCUACCCUAAAAGAAGGGAAUGCUCUUCAACUACAGACCUGAUAAACUAAAUAAAAUUGUCGUCCCUGUCCACAGAAACCGAAAAGUUACAGCUGUCUUCAUCUAUAUAAACUGUAUUAAUCUAUAUGAAACAUUAAAAAAAAUAAAAUAGAAAACAAGAAUCCCAAUAAUUCAUCAACGGACCCCCACUCCUACCCACAUAUACACACAAUGGCAAAGUAGAAGAAAUGCGUAAAGCAGCACUCCAUACUGAAUGAAAGUCUCUCUAUCCUCUACAUCUGACCGGGAGACAUGGAAAGAAAACAUGAAGCAACAAGUCUUAAGCAUCAUGUCUGAAGAGGAUAUGCCUCAUUUCCGCCCAUAUCUCAUUGACCAGAGCCAAUUUCCUGGCAUCGACUAAAUCUAAGAGGGCCGACAAAUGUGCUUUCGCCACACCAAGAAGAGAAGCAUGUCACACAUAUUGGUGAGAACUGGCAUAUUUAAUGUGCUAUGAAUGGGAAGUAUGGCUUGAUCAGGGUGGUGAGGAUGGGUAUAAUAAAUGAAGUAAAGGAAAAAGGAAUGGUCCAGACCAGGAUCAAACAGGGAUCCCAUUUAGAUAUAUAUUUUUUUCUGAUUGCAAAGACAGUGAGAUCCCUUAGAGAGAGAACUUAGAUGAAUGGAUGAGAAGACAAAGUCAUGGAACGCUCCAAAACAUGCAGAUGAAAGUAAAGAACAGAAGGCAACAAAGGAGACAGCAGAAAGGAAAUAUAGAGAUUGGAGAAAAUCAAAACAGAGGCACAGUUGAGGAAUCCUUAGAAAUAUUCAUCCUAAAAGGUGGUAUUAAAUUAUUGCACAUGCUGCUGAGAGGCAAGUAAGGAUGUGGACAUAAAAAUAACACUGGGAUUAUGGUAAGAUGAUGCUAUUUGGUGAAGUUUUUAUUGGAGUCAUUGGGGAUAAAAAAUAACUGAAAUAAAUGGUAGAAAGUGGGUUACUAAGAAGGAAGACAGUGAUUCAGACUGGUCCUUUAGGCUUUCCUUAAUGAGCCAUGACUGCACUAAAGGAAGCACCGGAAUAAACAAACGUAAAACAUAAUUUCAACUCUCAAACUCACAAUUUAGUGGGUAGCCAAUUUGCUAAAUCCCGUUUAAUGUUUUAUGCUUUAUACUAGCUGAAAAGAACAUGGCUCGCUGGGGACACAAAGAAGGACAUUAUCAACUUAAUCUAAUUAAGCAUUCCA